AUGAAUAUGCAAAAUGGAGUUGGGAAAAAGCAAUUCAAGCACAAGAGCAAAAAUAUUUGAAGAAGUCGCAACUCAAGAAAGCUCAGACUCCCAUCCUGUUCAAGUUUCAAGUCACGAAGACUCUCGAAGCACAAGAGACAUAUCACCAAAUGUUGACUCCUCGCCACAGAAAAAAGGUACGCUCCCUCAGAGAUAUUUAUGAAGCUUCUAAUGUUGCCUUUUUUGUAUGUGA
rnacentral:lncRNA from 1 species